ACAAACAUUAAGAUCAGAAAAAGUAGAAAAAGAAAUGUUUACAGAGAGGCGGCGUUUGGUGCGAGUCCGUUGACGAUCUUUUUCGAAGUGCUUCUGGGAGUGGUUCUAGCGAAUCAAGUAGCUGGAAACGUAGAGCAGGCGUUACUUUUGCUUAUGAGGCAAUCAUUGAUUGUGAAAAAAAGUGGAACCACGCGAAAAGCGUCUUUUGA
rnacentral:ncRNA from 1 species